GAUGGGGGUGGAGGGGUGCGGCUGGCGAUGUGGCGUUCCCGCGGGCUCGAGCACGUGACUUGGCAGAGUGACCUCAUGCGGAAACGGUUUGGGACGCCGGCAAACUCGCCAGAAGGGCAAAUCACCUAUCUCUCCCAGUCUUGAAGGAAUAGCCUUGUGUAGGAGAUGUCAUGUGGAACCCAGAAGCAUAAUCCCCUCUGACCACCAGAAUGAUGUGUAUCUGCAGCAUGCAGAGAGAGAGCAUGAGCAGGGGAGGGGCAGAGAGAGAGCAGG